rnacentral:rRNA from 1 species
UACAGAGGGUGCGAACGUUGCUCGGAAUUACUGGGCGUAAAGCGCAUGUAGGCGGAUCCAUAAGUCGGGCGUGAAAUCCCCAGGCUCAACCUGGGAACUGCGCUCGAAACUGUAGGUCUUGAGUGUCGGAGAGGAUGGCGGAAUUCCUGGUGUAGAGGUGAAAUUCGUAGAUAUCAGGAGGAACACCGGUGGCGAAGGCGGCCAUCUGGACGACAACUGACGCUGAGGUGCGAAAGCGUGGGGAGCAAACAGG